GUCUAUGGCCAUAUCACUCUGAAUGUGUUUGAUCUCAGAAGCUAAGCAGAGUUGGCCCUGGUGAGUAGUUGGAUGGGGGGCCACCAGGGAAUACUGGGUGCUACUGGCC
ensembl:rRNA 5S_rRNA 5S ribosomal RNA